CAGGUGUCUGGGGGUAGGAGUCGUUGCCAUCAACCCCCCCCCCCCACUGAUGAGUCUAGGCAGUGACUCCGAGACGAAACACAUC
rnacentral:hammerhead_ribozyme from 17 species